CCUACGGGAGGCUGCAGUGAGGAAUAUUGGUCAAUGGACGAGAGUCUGAACCAGCCAAGUAGCGUGAAGGAUGACUGCCCUAUGGGUUGUAAACUUCUUUUAUAUGGGAAUAAAACGUUCCACGUGUGGGAUUUUGUAUGUACCAUAUGAAUAAGGAUCGGCUAACUCCGUGCCAGCAGCCGCGGUAAUACGGAGGAUCCGAGCGUUAUCCGGAUUUAUUGGGUUUAAAGGGAGCGUAGGUGGAUUGUUAAGUCAGUUGUGAAAGUUUGCGGCUCAACCGUAAAAUUGCAGUUGAAACUGGCAGUCUUGAGUACAGUAGAGGUGGGCGGAAGUCGGGGUGUAGCGGUGAAAUGCUUAGAUAUCACGAAGAACUCCGAUUGCGAAGGCAGUUCACUGGACUGCAACUGACACUGAGGCUCGAAAGUGUGGGUAUCAAACAGGAUUAGAUACCCUGGUAGUC
rnacentral:rRNA from 1 species